rnacentral:rRNA from 1 species
UACGUAGGGGGCAAGCGUUGUCCGGAAUUAUUGGGCGUAAAGCGCGUGUAGGCGGUCCGGUAAGUCAGCUGUGAAAGUCAAGGGCUCAACCCUUGAAUGCCGGUUGAUACUGUCGGGCUAGAGUCCGGAAGAGGCGAGUGGAAUUCCCGGUGUAGCGGUGAAAUGCGCAGAUAUCGGGAAGAACGCCGGCGGCGAAAGCGAGUCUCUGGGCGGAAUCUGACGCUGAGGCGCGAAAGCUAGGGGAGCAAACGGG